GCUCUGAGGAGAGUAGCUUUGAGGGAUUCCCAUAUCAUGUAUGUCUCAAUUCUUAAAGUAAUAAACUAAGCAAAGAAACUGCUAAAUAACGCCCUCCUUGGUGAGGCAGGCUCAACUAUCAACUUCUUGGAUUCCUUGGAGUCCUGUGUUGGACGGUGGUGAUGCAGAGCCAGCUGCCCCAUGGCUUACCCCUCUUUUCAUCGCUUUCCUGCUUUCCCAAGGGCCCUCAGCCAUGAGCAGACUUGAACCUGAGAGAUCAAGGACCAUCUGUGACCCAGGAAAGAGGCCCACUGGGCCCUAGAGGCAGACUUUACACCAGCUGGGCAGGGAAUUCUGGGUCUGAUGGGCAUGUGUCUUCAGACAUGCGAGUGAAGUAACCAGAGGAGGACCAGAGUGAGGCCUGAAGGGAAGCCUGGAUGGCCGGCCAACUCUACAAGCCUUUAAGUCUCUGAAUCUGAAACUUCUAGUGCCUCUGCUUUCUUGAACUUGACAAACACCUUGGACAAAUGUGGCAGCAGUUACGCCCUGUGGAUACCAGGAGUCUUGUUCAUCUCAGAGGACCUGCUGAGGCAUUGAAGUACCACACUGAGGAAACCAAGCCCCAAAUAGCCUGGGUCCAGAGGGCUGAGAGCUUCUGGGGCCUGUUUCAGGAAGGGGAUACUGCUGUCCUUCUAGGGGAAAACCUUUCCCCUUUCUCCACAAGCCCCUCAGGCUGCUGGUGCUAACUUCCUCCUCACUGGUCCUGGUGCAAAUACUUAGGCUCUUCUCCCAAGCCCAGCGCUCUGCUGACCUGUUUUCUGCCCCGCUUUCCUCUUCUUCUUUCUCUAGGAGAUCUAGAGUAGCAGGAACAAACCAAGCUCUCUAUGAGCUCUUUACUUAGACUGAAAGAGAUCCUCUUAAUCUCAGCUGUUCUAAAAUCUUGAGUUCCCCAAAGAAGAACAGGAAAUUAGAAAAUAUGGCAGCAAGUCAUACUCCUGAAACACCUCCCAAGUGGUCUUGUUUUCUAAACUGACUCUUUCCAUUUUCUCCUCCUCUUCUUUGUAAAUCUCUCUUAUUAAACC
ensembl:lncRNA